CUACUACUCCCUCCGUCGGGAAAUACUUGUCCUCAAAAUGGUUAUAUCUAGACUUAUUUUAGUUAUAGAUACAUCUAUUUUAUCUAUUUAUAGGACAAAUAUUUCCGGACGGAAGGAGUACCUA
rfam:Triticum urartu cultivar G1812 contig22258, whole genome shotgun sequence.